UAUAAUAAUUCACAAAACAUUAUAUUUUAUUGUUUCUAUUUUAUUCUUUAUUGAGUCGAGAUCAAUCCUUCUUCAUCUUUAUCUUUUUCCUGGGCAAUUCUAGAGUAAUAUCUUCAUCGUUUACAUCGACUGUGAUAUGAGGCUGGAGCAUGUUAUCUUUUCUUAGGCUCAUUUAUCUUUUGUCUUCUCGUCUAAAUUCACAAAGAAGUUGAAUAUAUUUCUUAUGUUCAACACAAAAUUCUGACAAUAUGGACUUUGAUUUUUUCCUAUUUCAAUAAGAAUAAAUAUUAAUUUCAUAUAUAUGAAUUUUUUUGUGCUUUUAAUUUAUUACUUAAAUAAAGUUAGGAACUACCUCUUUUUUCUCUGUAAUGAAUUUUUCUGUUAUGCAUCCAAUAAAAAUUUCUGUUGUGUCAUAAUGUUACAUUUGCUCUGUUUGUGUGUCAUUUUCCAUGAGGAUCUGAACUAAAUGCAUUACAUUUCUCAUUGUCAAUUUGCUUUAGAUUUUAAUAUUAAUAUUUAAUUUUAAUAUAUUUCUUUCAUGAAGAAGGGAUAUCACUUAACCUUAGUACUACAUCAUCGACGAUUCUACAACAUUUAUCAUUUGAACACUUAUUAUUAACAUCUCUAUCCAUUUUCUUGUUGCAACCUUUGUAAACAUAGAACUAUUGCUCAACUGUAUUAUAAAUGGUAGUUAUCGUUACCUUAAAGGUGCGAUAAUGUGUCUGUAUAUUAGUAAAUUAUUCUUAGGUUUAAUUGUAUGAAUUUUAGAGUAGGUUUUCUAAGAUCAUACCUCUUUCAAAUGUUAUAAUGGUUGUAUAUAUUAGUAAUUUGAAUUUCUGCUGUAUUUAUAAGGAGCCUUAAUGGAGAUGCUUUUGUCUUGGCAGCUUAUUCUAAAAGAGUGCUGGAUAUUAGAUUUAAAAUGUAAUAUUUUUUCUUUACAUUGUUAUAUGGAUGUUUGCUUGGUUUACUUACUAUCCUCUUAUUUCUUCAGUGAGUUGUAUCUUUAGAUUGAUAUAUAUUAUUGAAACAAUUUACGAUGACAUGCAUACCUCCUUUAUAAAUUUGAGAUAGAUAUAAGGUGAAUUAAUUUUACUCAUGUUUUACUCAUUAAUUGAACUUCUAAGUUUAGUUUUAUGUAGUACUUCAUGUUUAACUCAUUAAACAUCUUGCAUGAGUCAAAUUUUUUUUCUGAAUUAAUUUUCUGAAAUCGAAUAUUCAAUUCUUAUGAAGAACUUUACGAUCACAGAAUAUAACAGAAGAUAUUGUUACUGGUCAAUGGUUUUAUUGUCCUGAGGAAGCAAGGGAAAAGAGAGGCGGGACAUAGGAAGCUCAUGAUACUAGAGAACUCUUUUAUAGUUUUCAUUUCGAUGAAUUUCCAGCAGAAAGCAUUUUGCACCAUUGCAUAGUGCAUUUUAUUCCUCAUCACAAGCAAUUACCUGAUAUCUUAUGAAACCCAGGUUUUUUGUUCAAAGAGUUUAUGAUUUUCACAAGAAAAAACUUCGGGGAUUUGUAAUAAUCACUAUGAUGAAGAUACUAGAUCCGAAAUUGAUAGACUUGUUCAGAGUACAGUGGAGAAUUUAGGGGAUCUUCUGGAUAUUGUGGCUGUUGAUUCCAGGAGAAGAAGAAAAAGAGAAUCCAGAAGAAAAAUACCUCAAGGAUUAAGCCAACAAUGAGAUCUGACAGUGGCGUUUCUUAUUAUCAUGAUAUAUUAGCAAAGUAUAAAGUACUAACUGGUAAUGAAUGUCGUGACAAGUGGUUGGCAAAGCUUCUUCAAGGAAUAACUACGGUGUGCAUUUCAGGGAAUGAUCUAUUAGAAGAAUAAAGAUAAGGCUGGUGAUGAUAAGUGUUGCAUGGAUGUUGUAUUAGCAAAAGCUUCCCGCGAGAGGGCUACCUAUGAAACCUCUAUUGAUCAACACAAGUAUAACCAGAAGAUGCGGCAGUUGGAUUUUAAUCUCAAGAACAAUGUAGUUUUGACCAAACGAUUGCUGGACAAAGAUCUGGAACCUAAAGCUAUUUUGGUCAUGAGCCCAGAUGAACUAAAGGCGGGCAUGGCUGCAGAAGAAAUAUAUAUCUGGGAGCAAGACGAAUCAGAGAAAAUACAGAUGAUACACGCUUCAUGUCCACAAUGCAUGGAGAAGAAAGUAGGUGUUCUUGAAUAAAUCCAAGCUGGAGGACGUGGGGAUCGUUACCAGCUUGAAUGUGCUGGUUGUGGUCAUUCAUGGUAUGCUGAUCGAAAUGAUACUUUUCAACAAUGAAGCCAACAUAGAAGAUAUUUGGAUACAGAUACUCAAAGUUACCAUCAAAGUUUGAAAUAUUGUGAAAAAAAUCAGCGUGCGUUGAGACUGUGAGAUGGCACAUCUGGAAAUCCUUGACUGAGGAAAACUUCAAUUUUUAUCGUAUAGACCAUGCGGUUCAUCUUGUUGGGUUCUAUACUCCAAUUAUUGAAUUGUUGUAGUUCUUCUUGUUUUUUUUUGGAAGAUACUCCUGUUAAAUAUAUUUCUUUUACAUUUAACAGGUUUAUUAUAGGCAAAAUGAGCCACCUUAUAUAAAUCAAGCAGGCUUAUAAGUGGUCUGCAUGCUCUUACACAACGCAUAUGAAUGCUCCACUUUAUCCCUCUCUAUCCAAAAGGAUUCAUGACUAAGUUAUCAGAAAGUGAUGCAACUGAAAGAAUUACUGUUUAUCUAUAUCCUAUUGUAAAUUGUUUGUUUGUAAAGUCAAAUUGCGAGUGUGCAAGGAUUAGCAGACUUAAUACACUUAUUUGUUGACAAAUUCCAGCAAACGAAUUUAUCUGUAAAGUCAGCACAAACUUUGAUAUGUGUGGAACCAAAAUUAUAUUUA